CAUGCAGUCGAACGGAAACGAUACUAGCUUGCUAGUAGGCGUCGAGUGGCGGACGGGUGAGUAACGCGUAGGAAUCUGCCUGAUAGUGGGGGAUAGCCCGAAGAAAUUCGGAUUAAUACCGCAUAAUCUAUUCGUAGUAAAGUGGGGGACUUUCGAGCCUCACGCUAUCAGAUGAGCCUGCGUAAGAUUAGCUUGUUGGUAGGGUAAAAGCCUACCAAGGCGACGAUCUUUAGCUGGUCUGAGAGGAUGAUCAGCCACAUCGGGACUGAGACACGGCCCGAACUCCUACGGGAGGCAGCAGUGGGGAAUAUUGGACAAUGGGGGCAACCCUGAUCCAGCAAUACCGCGUGUGUGAAGAAGGCCUGAGGGUUGUAAAGCACUUUCAAUUGUGAAGAAAAGUUAACGGUUAAUAACCGUUAGCCUUGACGUUAACUUUAGAAGAAGCACCGGCUAACUCCGUGCCAGCAGCCGCGGUAAUACGGAGGGUGCAAGCGUUAAUCGGAAUUACUGGGCGUAAAGCGUGCGUAGGCGGUUUAUUAAGUCAGAUGUGAAAGCCCCGGGCUUAACCUGGGAACUGCAUUUGAAACUGGUCAACUAGAGUAUGGUAGAGGAAAGUGGAAUUUCUGGUGUAGCGGUGAAAUGCGUAGAUAUCAGAAGGAACAUCAAUGGCGAAGGCAGCUUUCUGGACCAAUACUGACGCUGAGGUACGAAAGCGUGGGUAGCAAACAGGAUUAGAUACCCUGGUAGUCCACGCCGUAAACGAUGAUAACUAGCCGUUGGGGGGAUUUACCCUUUAGUGGCGAAGCUAACGCGUUAAGUUAUCCGCCUGGGGAGUACGGCCGCAAGGUUAAAACUCAAAGGAAUUGACGGGGACCCGCACAAGCGGUGGAGCAUGUGUUUAUUCGAUGCACGCGA
rnacentral:rRNA from 1 species